rnacentral:rRNA from 1 species
CCUACGGGUGGCAGCAGUGAGGAAUAUUGGUCAAUGGACGCAAGUCUGAACCAGCCAAGUAGCGUGCAGGAUGACGGCCCUCCGGGUUGUAAACUGCUUUUAGUUGGGAAUAAAAGGGGGCUCGUGAGCCCCGUAUUGUAUGUACCAUCAGCAAAAGGACCGGCUAAUUCCGGGCCAGCAGCCGCGGUAAUACGGAAGGUCCGGGCGUUAUCCGGAUUUAUUGGGUUUAAAGGGAGCGUAGGCGGUCUUUUAAGUCAGCUGUGAAAGUCCGCGGCUCAACCGGGGAAUUGCUGUUGAAACUGGAGGCCUUGAGUGCACACAGGGAUGCCGGAAUUCAUGGUGUAGCGGUGAAAUGCGUAGAGAUCAGGAAGAACUCCGAUGGCGAAGGCAAGUGUCCGGGGUGCAACUGACGCUGAGGCUCGAAAGUGCGGGUAGCAAACAGGAUUAGAUACCCGGGUAGUC